CAGCAGUGGGCUAACCAUCCUCUUGUUGAACACAUCUUCCAACAAACAAAAUUUCCAUGCAUAUAUACCUUUUUUCCUCUUACACAAGGAAUUAAAAGUGAGAGGGUACUGAGCAUUGUCUUCAAUUACUUUAAUGAAGUGAAAGGAGAAUUCUUUAAAAUCUACAAUGAGUAUGACAUGAGGUUGGAGUGAAAAUCUUUGUGACAACAUAGACAAAUCUCCUUUUUAAGCAUGACUAAAAGCAAAUAACUGGAAUUAUCACAAAAUUCUUAUAAGCAGAAGUGCAUAAUAUAUAAUUCAUAUCUUACAGUGAUUAAGAUACGGCAACAACUUCUACUAAGAUAUCCUCUAUUGGGAAUAAAGGGUUCAACCUUGCUUAAAUAUCAUGUGGCUGGAAAAGACACAGAAAGAAUAAGAUGUUAGAGGAGAUGACAUUUUGACUUAGGCAUCAAUAACAUGAUCCUUUUAAUUUCUCACCUUUCUUUCUCUUCUUCUUUCGUUUUUGUAUUGCAUUUGUUCCAAGUCUUUUUUCUCUUGCAUUUGUUCAUUGUUGCAAGUUUCCUAUAACCUAGGGAGGUGUCCUUUCAAAGUACUGCAAUUACUAUUAUUUAGUGUUGCAACCGUUACACUCUUUUAGAAGGAAGAGAAAUGAUUGUUAGUUCCCUUGCUUAUUUCUUGAGCUUGCACUUAUGUCCUUAAGCUGAAAACUCCCUAAAGCAUAAUCAUGCUCUAUAUUCAAAGCAUCAAAGGUGUUUGAGCAGUUGAUUUUCCUUGAAUCCUCUCAUAGUGCACCUGUAAAGAUUUCUGCGAUAAUUUGAUUUUCAUGGUCUGGAUUUUUCUUUUUGUUAUGUGAUGGAUGAGAUCGAGUUACCUCUAUCCACUCUUGAUCAUUUAAUUGAUUCACAGCUUGAGAACCUGAUUCUAACAGAUGCGUGGCCUCAUUCUCAUGCACAACAGAUUUGUGCACAUCAGUAGCAGCUGCAACUCCAAAACUUGACACAACUGUAGCACCUUUUGUAGCACUAGGAAUAUUAGCUGAUUUUUCACCCUUAGUUUUCUCAACUAGCUGCACCUCAAGACUCCUCUGCUCCCUGCUAUAUCAUUUUCACGACCUGAUGCAACAGUAGGAACAGCUCCCCUUGUACCAUCAUCAGCUUGGCCUGCAACAUUAUGUGUAAUCCCAGAAGACUUAGGAUUGACAUGCACAAAUCAGUUAUGUUUGUUUGAAACUUCAUAUUAAAUUGGUUACGAUCCUUGUCGCUGAAAACUCUAUUGACAUUCUUGGCUAAAUUUUGAGUCUGAACUUCAGAAUCGUCAAAUUUUCGGAGAAACAACAGAUGAUGCAUUUAGGGCUGUAUUUGGAAAGGAGCAGCCUGGUCGGGUUAGAUGCUAUGGUAGAUCGGUGACGACAAGCUCUCUGAAAAAAGAUGAAGAAAUCAAUAAGCUUAAACAAAAGCAUGCCAAUGAAAUAACUUCUCUCAAGGAAGAAAUAAAGGAAAUGAUGAGAGAAGAAAUGCGAUGUUUUUUUUGUCAAUUUGUGAAAAACAACCCUGGACUAGAUUUUCAUGGUAUACAAGGGUGUGUUGGAUCUAAUAUUCCUUCACCAGUUGAUGCAAGUAGUGCAUGAGCUAUGAGAGGCCAAAAUCUACCACAUUCUUCUGGCUCAACUCACGCCCCAAGUCUUGAAAAGGAAAAUACGGGUGAUGCAAUUGGAUAUGGUGGUCACAAAUCAAUUUGAUUUAUUAAAGUGAAUGGUGAAGACCUUUUGAACAAUUGGGAUGUUUAUUUUUAUUGAUUCUAUAAAUAUGAAUACAUUUGGUUUUGUAGAGGUCUUUGCUAGUGAACUCUUGAACCAACAGUGCUUUAUUACUAUAAACAGUACACA